rnacentral:rRNA from 1 species
UACAGGGGGUGCAAACGUUGCUCGGAAUCAUUGGGCGUAAAGCGCACGUAGGCGGUUCGGUAUGUCGGAUGUGAAAGCCCUUGGCUUAACCGAGGAAGUGCAUCCGAAACUGGCGAGCUAGAGUACUAAAGAGGAUCGCGGAAUUCCCGGUGUAGAGGUGAAAUUCGUAGAUAUCGGGAGGAACACCGGUGGCGAAGGCGGCGAUCUGGGUAGAUACUGACGCUGAGGUGCGAAAGCGUGGGGAGCAAACAGG